UAAAUCCCCGCUAGGGAUAAGGAGCUGGUAUCAGGCACAAUUUUUAGCCCAAGACACCUAGGUACGCCACACCCACACGGGAACUCAGCAGUGAUUAACAUUGAACAUAAGCGACAGCUUGACUCAGUUAAAGUAAGAAGAGCCGGCAAAUCUGGUGCCAGCCGCCGCGGUUACACCACGUGGCUCAAAUUGAUUUCUUUCGGCGUAAAGCGUGAUUAAAGUNUACAAAAAACUAUAGCCAAACUAAAACUAAGCUGUAACACGCUUGUAUUUAGGAAAACCAAAAACGAAAGUUGCUAUAAUUAGAACAACUUGAACCCACGACAGUUGGGGCACAAACUGGGAUUAGAUACCCCACUAUGCCCAACCGUAAACUUUUAAUUACACCCCNUAUCGCCCGGGAACUACGAGCAAAGCUUAAAACCCAAAGGACUUGACGGUANCCCCACAUCCACCUAGAGGAGCCUGUCCUAUAAUCGAUAACCCCCGUUUAACCUCACCAUUUUUAGCCUAUCAGCCUGUAUACCUCCGUCGUCAGCUUACCACGUGAGCGACCCUUAGUGAGCUUAAUGCCCCUACGCCAACACGUCAGGUCAAGGUGCAGCAAAUAAAAUGGGAAGAGAUGGGCUACACUCUCUAUUCUAGAAGACACGAAAGACUACAUAUGAAACCUAGUCUGAAGGCGGAUUUAGUAGUAAAAAGAGACAAGAGAGCUCUUUUUAACACGGCACUGGGGUGUGUAC
rnacentral:rRNA from 1 species